GGUUUAUACAAAGAGAAGCAAAUCUGUAAAGACAAGCAAACCUCAUAAAGUAAAUCGUAGUCCGGACUGGAGUCUGCAACUCGACUCCACGAAGUCGGAAUCGCUAGUAAUCGUGGAUCAGAAUGCCACGGUGAAUACGUUCCCGGGCCUUGUACACACCGCCCGUCACACCAUCGGGAGUGGGUUGCAAAAGAAGCAGAUUUCCUAACCCCGAAAGUGGAAGGGGUCUACCACUUUGUGAUUCAUGACUGGGGUGAAGUCGUAACAAGGUAACCGUAGGGGAACCUGCGGUUGGAUCACCUCCU
rnacentral:rRNA from 1 species